rnacentral:lncRNA from 1 species
GAAUAAAUUGAGAAAAUGGACUAGAUAAUAUUCUUGUUUGUGACAUGUUACCUACAAAAAAAUAUAAAUAAUAUUCCUAAUAUUUCUGGGAGAGAUAAAUAUAAUGGCCAAAAAGUAGCAUAGGAGAGAUGUAUUGGACUAAGAUGAAAAUGUUAGGAUAUGCAUACGACACAAGGAUUACGAAUGAUAUUCUCCAAAACCACAAGGCCCUGUUACUUCUACAGUAG